CACGUAGGCACCAAGCGUUGUCCGGAUUUAUUGGGCGUAAAGAGCUCGUAGGCGGUCUGUCGCGUCGGCUGUGAAAACCCGAGGCUCAACCUCGGGCCUGCAGUCGAUACGGGCAAACUAGAGUACUGCAGGGGAGACUGGAAUUCCUGGUGUAGCGGUGAAAUGCGCAGAUAUCUGGAGGAACACCGGUGGCGAAGGCGGCGUUCUGGACUGUCUCUGACACUGAAGAACGAAAGCCAGGGGAGCAAACGGG
rnacentral:rRNA from 1 species